rnacentral:rRNA from 1 species
AUGAACGCUGGCGGCGUGCCUAAUACAUGCAAGUCGAACGAACGGACGAGAAGCUUGCUUCUCUGAUGUUAGCGGCGGACGGGUGAGUAACACGUGGAUAACCUACCUAUAAGACUGGGAUAACUUCGGGAAGCCGGAGCUAAUACCGGAUGAUAUUUUGAACCGCAUGGUUCAAAAGUGAAAGACGGUCUUGCUGUCACUUAUAGAUGGAUCCGCGCUGCAUUAGCUAGUUGGUAAGGUAACGGCUUACCAAGGCAACGAUGCAUAGCCGACCUGAGAGGGUGAUCGGCCACACUGGAACUGAGACACGGUCCAGACUCCUACGGGAGGCAGCAGUAGGGAAUCUUCCGCAAUGGGCGAAAGCCUGACGGAGCAACGCCGCGUGAGUGAUGAAGGUCUUCGGAUCGUAAAACUCUGUUAUUAGGGAAGAACAUAUGUGUAAGUAACUGUGCACAUCUUGACGGUACCUAAUCAGAAAGCCACGGCUAACUACGUG